AAACUUUAUGUUUUAUAUUAUCUUUAUUUUCGGAUUUUGAGGAUUAAGCAUAUUUGGAUUUUUUAAAAAAAAAUUAUUAUAUUUUAACCCGAACCGAACAUGUAAUGAUUCGAACCAAAUCAAACCAAAUUCAAACCAAAAUUAGUAAAUAUCCGAAUCAUAUUUAAAUUUCUAACUCUAAAAAUCCGAAUAGAUCAACUGAAUCCGAAUGUCCAUCUCUUGAAAAGCUAUAAGACAAAUAUCUUAUUACAACGUAAAAUAAAUAAUCUAAUUAGUUAUUUUUCUAUGCGCACGGCGCGGAUUAUUACCUAGUAGCAAAGUUAUUUCUCUAUCCCAUUCUCUCCAAACAAACAAUCACUAUAUCCAUAAUCGUCUCUAAUUGUUGUCAUGACAUUGACAAAACUGUUUUGUUCGUAUCUGUUCAUCUGAAUCUCCAUGUUUGUUCGCAGGUAGGAAUUAGUACACCUUGUGUUUUAUUAAGCAAGAAGUUAUAAAAUCAAAUAGUAAUUCUUAAAUUUGAUGCGUCUAGAUCCUUUAAGCAGAAUGAUUUAUAAGAAAACCAUUGAGACAAUUAUUUUGGGUCCACAAUAAAAAUAUGAUUCAAAUAUGAUUAGUUAGGUAGAAGAAUAGUUGAUUAGAUAUACGAUAAUAUAUCACUUAACAUCUAUCAUACAUUUUUAUUAGAAUUCUAGGUUUAGACACUUUAAAACUAAUCAUUUUAAAAUAGCAUAAACGCUCGUACGUUUAUGCAAAUAUAUACACUUAAAUCUACUUUUAUGCUCUUUUUAAAUUUUGUUUGUUUUUAGCUUUUUUGGCUUUGCCAAGUUCAAAUGGAACUGAUAUAAGAACAUGUAAUGUGACCUUGAAGCUUAACAAACCAUGCAGUUUUCAAGAAUGCCAAGCACCUUGUAUUCAGAACUACAAGGGGACUGGCAUUUGUAUCGGGGAAAAACAACAGUAUUUGCAGUUGCGUUUACAGUUAUAUAUUAGUAUGGCCGAAGAUCUUGGGCCUUCAUAGCUUCACUUUUCAGAGAAGGUAUAAAAGUGACCGUUAUCCAAGUUUUCGGCCUUGAGCUCUACGACAUUGUUACAGUUAAAUCAUUCUUGAUGCUAACCCAAUUUACAAAAUUUUUGUAAAUAGUCGAUUUUAAUCCAAUUUCGAUUAGCAAUGUCACUGGAUAAAAAAAAAACUUUUGUAAGAACUAGCCUUGUGAAAACUAAUUGAUGUGACCAGUGUUUUAUGUUUCUAUCCGUUAUGAAGACUACUUUGUUUCAGGUUAAUAAAAUAUGAUGAUGAUAAAAAGCGUUAUACAAAAAAGAAGAUAAUAUUUGACACAAAUAUUUUUAAAAUCAAUACUAUUAAAAUAGAAAGCCUUUUUUUGAGAUACCCUUGUGUUUUAACAAAAUUUACAAUUCUCUGCCACUUGCCACUGGCUUAAUUUAAAACCAAUGUUUUUAUUUAAUUAUAGUUAAUAUAUUAAUAACCUCUAUUAAUUAAUACAUAAUAAACGGUACAUUGAAAUUAGGCUAUGGCGAUGGCAAUGGCGAUGGCGACUUCUUUGGGAUCUCUGGAUUUUGGUUUCAAUUUAUGGUGAAUCUCAAUCUAUACGGUUUCGAUGUCAGUUCUUUCUGUAAGCAUCGAUGAGGUUUUUUUUAUUCUGGUGUUGAUGGGUGUAUGGGUCUAAUGGGUGAUUUCGGAACAAUCUUCUUCGAUUCCACUCCAGUCUGGUUUAAUUUUAGGACAAAACAGAGUUCCAAGGAUAUGCUAUCUGACUGCUUAUUGAAUGGAGUUUGUUGGAAAGAGAAGGUAUGCAAUAUGGUUUUGGAUGGUUGGUAUUUUCUGGGGAUGACAGAAGAAAACGGACAAACAUAUAGAUGGUGUGAUUGCUUCUGGGAUCCAACGGUGCACAACUUUGAGAAAUUCUCGAUUGAAAAAGAGGAUACAUCAGAGAAUAUGGAUGUGAACUUCAAAGUGUCCUGAAGAAUAUAGGUGGUUGGGAGCUGCAGUCUGUUUCAAGAGGCGUGAAUAAAGUUGCCUUUAUGAUUGCUAGGAGUGUUACGAUGUUAACAUAUAAUGUAGUCGUACGUUCCUCAAGGUGAACAGGUUUGGCUAAGGACUGCUGUAGCUGUGGAUAGGUUGUGGAGUGAAGAGGUUAAAGAUCCUAUAGUGUGUUUUGGAUCUUUCGACAUGAAUGAGCUUCAGGCUCUGUUUAUGUCUUUAUCUUUCAUAUUUUUUUUGGUUGGUUUUGGUUUUGUACGAUACUGUGGUUCCUAUUGCAAUUCAUUCUCAGAGUUUAAAAAAAAAAAAGAAAUAGAACUAUUUGUAUUUUUGUAUUAAGGUUUAGUGUUGAAAGGUUUCUAUCUUCGAGA